rnacentral:rRNA from 1 species
ACUCCUGCGGGAGGCAGCAGUGGGGAAUUUUGGACAAUGGGCGAAAGCCUGAUCCAGCAAUGCCGCGUGAGUGAAGAAGGCCUUCGGGUUGUAAAGCUCUUUUGUCAGGGAAGAAACGGUGAAAGCUAAUAUCUUUUGCUAAUGACGGUACCUGAAGAAUAAGCACCGGCUAACUACGUGCCAGCAGCCGCGGUAAUACGUAGGGUGCAAGCGUUAAUCGGAAUUACUGGGCGUAAAGCGUGCGCAGGCGGUUUUGUAAGUCUGAUGUGAAAUCCCCGGGCUCAACCUGGGAAUUGCAUUGGAGACUGCAAGGCUAGAAUCUGGCAGAGGGGGGUAGAAUUCCACGUGUAGCAGUGAAAUGCGUAGAUAUGUGGAGGAACACCGAUGGCGAAGGCAGCCCCCUGGGUCAAGAUUGACGCUCAUGCACGAAAGCGUGGGGAGCAAACAGGAUUAGAUACCCGGGUAGUCCCAU